rnacentral:rRNA from 1 species
AGCAGCCGCGGUAAUUCCAGCUCCAAUAGCGUAUAUUAAAGUUGUUGCAGUUAAAAAGCUCGUAGUUGAAUUUCGGGGUUAGUAGGUUGGUCAUGCCUCUGGUAUGUACUGGUCUCACUGAUUCCUCCUUCCUGAUGAGCCGUAAUGCCAUUAAUUUGGUGUUGCGGGGAAUUUGGACUGUUACUUUGAAAAAUUAGAGUGUUUAAAGCAAGCUAACGCUUGAAUACAUUAGCAUGGAAUAAUGAAAUAGGACGUUCGAUCCUAUUUUGUUGGUUUCUAGGAUUGACGUAAUGAUUAAUAGGGAUAGUUGGGGGCAUUAGUAUUCAAUUGUCAGAGGUGAAAUUCUUGGAUUUAUUGAAGACUAACUACUGCGAAAGCAUUUGCCAAGGAUGUUUUCAUUAAUCAAGAACGAAAGUUAGGGGAUCGAAGACGAUCAGAUACCGUCGUAGUCUUAACCAUAAACUAUGCCGACUAGGGAUCGGAUGAUGUUAAUUUUUAAUGUACUCAUUCGGC